CUUGAACCCUAUAAGAGGUCCAGCCUGCCCAGUGAAAUAAUUCAACGGCCGCGGUAUCCUAACCGUGCGAAGGUAGCGUAAUCACUUGUUCUCUAAAUCAGGACUAGUAUGAACGGCAUCACGAGGGUUAUACUGUCUCCUUUUUCCAAUUAGUGAAUUUAAUUUUCCCGUGAAGAAGCGGGAAUAAGCCUAUAAGACGAGAAGACCCUAUGGAGCUUUAAACAAUCUAGCAUCUGCCUAUAUUCUUCAUGUUUCAGAACUCUCUAGACCUCCUACAUAAUGACUAGAAGUUUUAGGUUGGGGUGACCGCGGAGUAAAACCCAUCCUCCAUAAUGAAAGAAUUUUAAUUCUUAACCAAGAAAUACCUAUCUAAGUAUUAACACACUGACAUUUAUUGACCCAAUACAAUUGAUCAACGAAC
rnacentral:rRNA from 1 species